CAACCUUGGUGUCAAGCGCGCACGCAGAAGAUGUUGGCAUGGAGCGCUGGGUCCCCAGUGGCUUCUUUUUCAGGAAACCCAGAAUCCGGAGCAGCUUACCAUCAUCAAGCCUGAUCUCAUCAGAUUUCAGAAGUUAAGUAGUCCAGGGCCUGGUCAGCAUUGGAAUGGAAAACCUCCAGAGAAAACCAGGCUGCCACAGUGGCGGAAUUAUACUAGACCAGUCCUGAUGUCCUAAACCAGUGCCCCAUUGUGGUGACCUGCAACACUACUAUUGAAAGAGUUGUCCUUCAUAUGAGAUGUAAAACUGAGCUCCUGAUUACAACCAUACUUCCAUUAAUGCUGCUUCUGUAAGCAAUGAUUCACAACGCAGCACCCUUUGUCCUGACUAUUAUUUUAAUUACCCCUAAAACAGUCCUGCCGAAAACACCUAGAGCACACUCGCUGCAGUUGUGCAGCCUGCAAAUAUUUGUGGUAAAGGCAAAAGUCAAUGAAAGAUGAUGCUCAAGCACCCAGCCAAUAAGAGUGUGAUCUGAGACAUUUGUUUACAGUUGGCCAGUGCCAUUUAAACUUGUGGAUGGAAAUGAAGA